UGCUCUUAUUAUAUAUACUCUUAACUUCAUCUCUUUUUUUAAAGGCACCUAUAUACAUAGAUAGUUAAUAGGUUUAUUAUUACUGUUAGAGAAAGUUUGAAAUAACCAUAUUACAAAUUACUGACUGAAAACUGUACUUAUUGGAAACCCAGACUGUGUAUUGGUGGUAUUGUAACACAAUGAUGCAAUUAGUUUAAUACGUCAUGAAGAUUUCUGUGAAAGUGAAACAACAGAAAGUGCUCAAUGUAAACACAUAUCAGAUGUGCGCCAUCAGGGAGGUGGCUGCAGGUCUGCAUUAAAGCACUGUGUAAAGUCCCAUCUCUUCAUUUCAUUUAUCAGCUUGUAUUUGCAUCACAGGUAAGCUGAAAACUAACAUUUACAACAUCAUAGUUUAUUCUAGAACUUUUCACUAAUCAGACGGUUGCAGAUUCGACUGAGUAUUUCUAUUACCAUUGUUUGUGUAUUGCUAUCAUUGUACAUUUUUCAAUUAGAAUAUAUAUUCCCUCGAAUUUUCUAAUGUUGUUUCUUUUUUGUAAAUAUUCUAUUUGUUUUCUUACAGUGUAAAAAAUUCAUGUUAUUUACUCCUAACAGUGAUGGCAGCAGCAGUUUUGGACAGAAGCAGAGGGGUGGCUGUUUUCAGCAUCAACAAAGGCCUGUUCCUCAUGUCCACCCUGCUGUGUCUGGUUUGCCUUUCAAGUGCCCUGAUAGACAAGGACCAACUGGAAAAACUGAAAGACGACUAUCAGAAAUCACACCAGCAACUAGAAAAACUGAAGAUUGUGUUCAAACAACAAGUGACUGACUCCAAACAACAAAUGACUGUGUUCAAACAACAAGUGACUGAGAUUACAGAGAUGCUGAAGGAAACCGAGGCUUACAUUGAUAGGGAGGAAAAGCAGUUGGGAGGGAAAAUAGAAGAAAGUGAAAAAUGUCUACAAAAUCAGAAGAAAUUUAUUGAAUUCCUUGAGGAACUGCAAGCUGAAUUGUAACUUCCAUCUCAGUGAUUUCCUUUUUCUCUGAUGUUGCAUCUGUUUAGUUCCCUUAUCAUAUAGUACUUGUUUAAGUUUGGUUUAACUUUUUUAAAAGUGUCCCCCUUCUUUACAAUUUUACAUAAACUCCAGAGGAUUUUAUGUGUUAAUGAAGUUUAAGGAAUACAUUUUCAGAACUUACAGAUUUUUCUACCAUUACUUGAUUUCUGCAGUGGAAAAAAAUGUUUGUAUGACCUGACACAUAAAAAAAACAUUAACCUACUACUGUUACUGUUUGUUGUCAGAAUAUCUAUCUCAAAAUAUACGACUUUUUUUGCCGUAUCCCCAGCAGUCAGCCACAAAAGUGGAUUAACUAAAAUAUAUGUGACCUAUUUGCAAAUUAUGUAAAGAUAAACAAAAUUGUUCAGUUUUAAAAUAUAUUUAAAGAUUGCAUUUAUAAUUUAGUGCACUCUGUAGUGCUUCACUUUUUUUCUCCUCAUGUUGUCAUUAAGGCAUUUUCAUCUGUCUCAUAGCGACACUGUGCAUGUUCCAGUAAAGACAAACAGGCAAAAUAAAGUUAUUUGUAAAACAAAUGUGAAAGCCUGAGCUUCAAAGUUAAGCUAAGAUGAAAGUCUUACUGCAUCUACACACAUACAAACACAGUGCAACAACCUACCCAAAAACACACACACACAGAAGAGCUGAGCACUAUUUUACCACCAUUGGAAGACGUUGUUCCCAGUUUAAGGAAAUGCACUGCACUGGUUUGAAUCAUAUCUACCUGACAAAUUUCAGUUUGUAAAUGCAAGUUGGGAGUCUGCUUCAUGUACAAAAGUUAGUCAUUGAGUUUCAAAGAAUUCUGUGCUGGGAACAAUUCUGUUCAGAUUAAACUUGUUCCCUUAGGCAGUACUGUAAGAAAACACUGCAUACAU
rnacentral:lncRNA from 1 species